rnacentral:rRNA from 1 species
CCUACGGGAGGCAGCAGUGAGGAAUAUUGGUCAAUGGACGAGAGUCUGAACCAGCCAAGUAGCGUGAAGGAUGACUGCCCUAUGGGUUGUAAACUUCUUUUAUAUGGGAAUAAAAUGUUCCACGUGUGGGAUUUUGUAUGUACCAUAUGAAUAAGGAUCGGCUAACUCCGUGCCAGCAGCCGCGGUAAUACGGAGGAUCCGAGCGUUAUCCGGAUUUAUUGGGUUUAAAGGGAGCGUAGGUGGAUUGUUAAGUCAGUUGUGAAAGUUUGCGGCUCAAACGUAAAAUUGCAGUUGAAACUGGCAGUCUUGAGUACAGUAGAGGUGGGCGGAAUUCGUGGUGUAGCGGUGAAAUGCUUAGAUAUCACGAAGAACUCCGAUUGCGAAGGCAGUUCACUGGACUGCAACUGACACUGAGGCUCGAAAGUGUGGGUAUCAAACAGGAUUAGAGACCCGAGUAGUC